GUGGCUACAGAACGAACGCUGGCGGCAGGCCUCAAACAUGCAAGUCUAGGGGGUGUAGCAAUACAUCACCGGCGGACGGGUGCGUAACGCGUGGGAAUAUACCUAUCGAUUCGGAACAACUGAGGGAAACUUCAGCUAAUACCGAAUACGUCCUAACGGAGAAAGAUUUAUCGUCGAUAGAUUAGCCCGCGUUCGAUUAGCUAGUUGGUGGGGUAACGGCCCACCAAGGCGACGAUCGAUAGCUGUUCUGAGAGGAAGAUCAGCCACACUGGGACUGAGACACGGCCCAGACUCCUACGGGAGGCAGCAGUUGGGAAUCUUGGACAAUGGGGGAAACCCUGAUCCAGCCAUGCCGCGUGAGUGAUGAAGGCCUUCGGGUUGUAAAACUCUUUCGCGCACGACGAUAAUGACGGUAGUGCGAGAAGAAGCUCCGGCUAACUUCGUG
rnacentral:rRNA from 1 species